rnacentral:rRNA from 1 species
GAACGAACGCUGGCGGCGCGUUUAAGCAUGCAAGUCGAGCGGCAAGGGCCUUCGGGCCCUAGAGCGGCGGACGGGUGAGUAACACGUGGACAAUCUGCCCCCCGGCCCGGGAUAGCCCAGGGAAACCUGGAUUAAUACCGGAUGAGACGGGACCCGCGAUGGCGGGAUCCGGGAAAGGCGCUGCGGCGCCGCCGGGGGAUGAGUCUGCGUCCCAUUAGCUAGACGGCGGGGUAACGGCCCACCGUGGCGACGAUGGGUAGCCGGCCUGAGAGGGUGGACGGCCACAUUGGAACUGAGACACGGUCCAGACUCCUACGGGAGGCAGCAGCUAAGAAUCUUCCGCAAUGGGCGAAAGCCUGACGGAGCCGACGCCGCGUGAACGAAGAAGGCCGUGAGGUUGUAAAGUUCUUUUCGGGAGGGGGAACAACCGUGGCAGGGAAUGGCCGCGGGAUGACGUGAAUCCCGGAAUAAGCCCCGGCUAACUACGUGCCAGCCGCCGC